rnacentral:rRNA from 1 species
ACGGUGAUAUUUAUAUCAUAGUGGCGCACGGGUGCGUAACACGUAUGCAACCUACCUAUUAUUGGGGGAUAGCCUUUGGAAACCGAGAUUAAUACCGCAUAAUACGGUUAACUGGCAUCGGUUGAUUGUUAAAGCAUUUGCGAUAAUAGAUGGGCAUGCGUCCAAUUAGUUAGUUGGUGUGGUAAUGGCUCACCAAGACGAUGAUUGGUAGGGGAUCUGAGAGGAUAAUCCCCCACACUGGCACUGAGAUACGGGCCGGACUCCUACGGGAGGCAGCAGUAGGGAAUAUUGGGCAAUGGGCGGAAGCCUGACCCAGCCAUGCCGCGUGCAGGAAGACGGCGUUAUGCGUUGUAAACUGCUUUUUUAUAGGAAGAAGGAUCCCUUGCGAGGGAAGGUGACGGUACUAUAAGAAUAAGCACCGGCUAACUCCGUGCCAGCAGCCGCGGUAAUACGGAGGGUGCAAGCGUUGUCCGGAUUUAUUGGGUUUAAAGGGUGCGUAGGCGGUUUAUUAAGUCAGUGGUGAAAGACGGUCGCUCAACGAUUGCAGUGCCAUUGAUACUGGUAGACUUGAGUGAGAUUGAGGUAGCUGGAAUGGAUAGUGUAGCGGUG